AGAGUCCAGCAGGGGAGGCACGCCUACCUCCAUCCCUGGUCCUGGCCAGUUAAUGGAUGGGUUAAGUGUCCUAGCUUGUCAAUUUAAUGGUGUGUGUGUACUGUCCUCUGAAGAAAUUGUCUUUAGUCCCAUUUAAUAACAAGCAAGAUGGUUCAUCAGUAAGGGUGCUUGCCACCAAAACUGACACUUGAAUUCAGUCCCUGGAACCUACUUGGUAGAAGAGGACUGACUCCUGAAAGCUGUCCUCUCACCGUCACAGGCAUGGGCUUGCCAUCCUACAUGCACAGGAAAAAGGAGCAAAGAGCCACGCAAUGAAUGAGCUAUGGUACAGUGUUCUCUCCAAAAUGUCUGCAGUUUGCAACUGUAGUUACAGCUCUUCUUCACAGGAAUCGACAUCAAACUCGACGCAAGUUAACUUUACAGUACUGAAUAAUGCGACUCAGAUUCGAGGACAAAUGUGCAGAGAUGGUAACGUGUGAAAACUGUGGCCUCUGACGCCAUCACAGGGAUGACGUCAGGUUCGUAAGCAGAUUCUCCCGUACAGUUGAAACGGCAUCGUGUGCAUCCGUGGCAUGAACUGAAGUCUAGAAGCGUUGUCUCUCAUCUGUGGUACCCUCCCUGCGGUUCUCCAGUACCACUCAGUUUCCUUUGCAGUUACAGAAUUCAGGGGGUAGGUGGGGGGACAUGGGAAAGCAAGCCACUGGCAUUUUAACAACUGCACCCCUGCUGGUGGACCUAGCUUUUCAGAUGAGAUCUCCUGCCCGCACGUGACAACUGCUUGCUCCCAGACGGCCUAGGCAACUAGUCUUUCCUACUCUGGUCUCUUUUGAAGCAGGUACAAUUUCCGUGAUAGUGCUUUUCCCAGUGGAGAAAUUAUUUGGCUAAACUCAUACACUCAACUCGUGGCAGUGCUCUGGGAAAACCCCACUGGGGCUAAAGCACUUACAAGGACUAAGGACUAAGUCCGCUAAGUGAGGCAGAGACCAAACACCCAGAGGGCUGAGUUGAAACCCACCGGGAACACGCUGGCCCUGGUGUCCCACGGUCAGCAGGACAGCAGGACAGCCCAGGGCAGGCAACUCAUAGCUGAGUUGCCACUUUUAGUCUCUGCCUGCCGUCAAUGCCCCAGAGACAAAAAUUCAGAUGUGGUGACAGCUGGUUAAUUAAGCUUUUGAACUGGUAAAAAAGGCUCUUU
ensembl:lincRNA 4930516B21Rik RIKEN cDNA 4930516B21 gene